rnacentral:rRNA from 1 species
ACGGGAGGCAGCAGUGGGGAAUAUUGGGCAAUGGGCGAAAGCCUGACCCAGCAAUGCCGCGUGAAGGAAGAAGGUCUUCGGAUUGUAAACUUCUUUUAUGAGGGACGAAGGAUUUGACGGUACCUCAUGAAUAAGCCACGGCUAACUACGUGCCAGCAGCCGCGGUAAUACGUAGGUGGCAAGCGUUAUCCGGAUUUACUGGGUGUAAAGGGCGCGUAGGCGGGGAAGCAAGUCAGAUGUGAAAUCCAUGGGCUCAACUCAUGAACUGCAUUUGAAACUGUUUCUCUUGAGUGCUGGAGAGGUAGAUGGAAUUCCUAGUGUAGCGGUGAAAUGCGUAGAUAUUAGGAAGAACACCAGUGGCGAAGGCGAUCCACUGGACAGUAACUGACGCUGAGGCGCGAAAGCGUGGGGAGCAAACAGGAUUAGAUACCCUGGUA